rnacentral:rRNA from 1 species
AACGAACGCUGGCGGCAUGCCUAACACAUGCAAGUCGAACGAACCCUUCGGGGUUAGUGGCGCACGGGUGCGUAACGCGUGGGAAUCUGCCCUUUGCUUCGGAAUAACAGUUAGAAAUGACUGCUAAUACCGGAUGAUGUCUUCGGACCAAAGAUUUAUCGGCAAGGGAUGAGCCCGCGUAGGAUUAGGUAGUUGGUGGAGUAAAGGCCUACCAAGCCGACGAUCCUUAGCUGGUCUGGGAGGAUGAUCAGCCACACUGGGACUGAGACACGGCCCAGACUCCUACGGGAGGCAGCAGUGGGGAAUAUUGGACAAUGGGCGCAAGCCUGAUCCAGCAAUGCCGCGUGAGUGAUGAAGGCCUUCGGGUCGUAAAGCUCUUUUACCAGGGAUGAUAAUGACAGUACCUGGAGAAUAAGCUCCGGCUAACUCCGUGCCAGCAGCCGCGGUAAUAC